UUUUGAAGAAGUAGUUAUCUACUCGUUUGCCUUUUUCCGGGCAAACGCAUACUUUUGAAGAAGUCAUCUGCUCUUUUGCAUUGUCCCGGGCAAAUGCGUACUUUUAAAGAAGGAGUCAUCUACUCUUUUGCAUUAUCCCGGGCAAAUGCGUACUUUAAAAAAAUGAAUGAUUUACUCUUUUACCUUUUCCGGGCAAAUGUAUACUUUUGAAGAAGUAGUUAUCUACUCGUUUGCCUUUUUCCGGGCAAACGCAUACUUUUAAAGAAGGAGUCAUCUACUCUUUUGUCUUAUUCCAGGUAAAUACAUACUUCUAAAAAUGGAAAUCAUAUAUUCUUACGACCCAUUGCAUUUCAUACUCUUUUCAACGAUUAUGCCAAAUGGUCAUUAUGCCAAACGGCUUUAUGCCAAAUGGCAUUAUGCCAUAUGGGCUUCCCCCAAUAUGAACAACGAGUAUAAUGGAUUAUAUGCUCCUUCGUAUUAUAUGUGAGCCCUAACAAACAUAUCAAAUGGGCUUCAUUCCGGGCAAAUGCGUGCUUUAAAAUAGGGCAGCAUAUGUCGUUUUGCCUUAUUCCGGGCAAAUGCGUACUUCAAUAUAAGUAUUUUUGCAUAGAAAUAUAGCAUCUAGAAUUUUUAAUUUAUAGAAAUGACAGCGAAAAACAUAGUUUCUUAGACUGAUACCUUUUUCUGGGGAACGGGUCAUUCUGGGUUUUUGGUUUCUGGGGAAUGGGUCAUUCUGGGGAUUUCUUUUCGGGGAAAUGGUGCAUUCUGGGGAAUAUCAUUCUGGAGAA